rnacentral:misc_RNA from 2 species
AACGCACAUUGCGCCCUUUGGCAUUCCGAGGGGCAUGCCCGUUCGAGCGUCAUUACACCACUCAAGCCUGGCUUGGUAUUGGGCGUCGGGUCAACCCGCGCCUCCAUUGAAAAUUCGGCUGUGGUCUGAAACUCAUCCCUGCGUCGUGAGAAUUUGAUUUCCUCUCGCUCGGGUGGGCGGCCGGCACGCCGUUAAACCAUUUUAUCACAGGUUGACCUCGGAUCGGGUAGGGAUACCCGCUGAACUUAA